AGCAGCCGCGGUAAUUCCAGCUCCAAUAGCGUAUAUUAAAGUUGUUGCAGUUAAAAAGCUCGUAGUUGAAUUUCGGGAUCAAUAUAUCGGUCGUGCCUUGGUACGUACUGGUAUCAUUGGUUUCUCCUUUCUGACGAACCAUGAUGUCAUUAAUUUGGUGUUAUGGGAAGUUAGGACUGUUACUUUGAAAAAAUUGAGUGUUUAAAGCAGGCUUUAGCUUGAAUACAUUAGCAUGGAAUAAUGAAAUAGGACGUUUGAUUCUAUUUUGUUGGUUUCUAGGAUCGACGUAAUGAUUAAUAGGGAUAGUUGGGGGCAUUAGUAUUCAAUUGUCAGAGGUGAAAUUCUUGGAUUUAUUGAAGACUAACUACUGCGAAAGCAUUUGCCAAGGNUGUUUUCAUUAAUCAAGACGAAAGUUAGGGAUCGAAGACGAUCAGAUACCGUCGUAGUCUUAACCAUAAACUAUGCCGACUAGGGAUCGGAUGAUGUUAAUUUUUAUGUACUUCAUUCGGCGCCUUACGGG
rnacentral:rRNA from 1 species